ensembl:lncRNA
GCCGGUUCAGAUCCCAGGUGCAGACCUAUGCACUGCUUGUCAAGCCAUGCUGUGGCAGGGGUCCCACAUAUAAGGUGGAGGAAAAUGGGCAUGGAUGUUAGCUCAGGGCCAGUGGUCUUCAGCAAAGAAGAAGAGGAUUGGCAGCAGAUGUUAGCUCAGGGCUAAUCUUCCUCAAAAGAACAAACAAACAAAGGAAGGCCAUGCUUAUUCAAAUGAUGAUAGUGUGUCCUGAACCAAGAAUUAUUAUUAAUCCAUUUCCAGGCAUCUGGGGUCCAGAAGAGACGGCAGCUCGUUUUAAAAGAUUAGUGGAACUUUAAGAAGAUGAUGACAACAGACUUGGCCUUGGAUCAUAAUCUCCCAACAGUGCUGUCAAGGAGUUCAGCUGAGGAGCACAUGUGCACGUUUCCUCAAUGGUCACUCCUGGAGCCACGCUUCAAGACUCAUCUGUUCUCACUCAGAGAGCUUUCUAAUUCAAGAGGAGCUAGGAGUGGGGGAUAACAAGUAGGAAAGCAGGUAAAGACCCAUGUCAUUCCUUCACUCAUGCAAUAAAUAAUUAUUCUGUAUCUUCUACAUGCCCGGCACUGUGCCGGAUGCUGGAGAGUAAUGGUGAGCAAAAAGGCAAGGCCCCUGCCCUCAUGCAGCUCACAGUCCUGUAGGGGAUGCAGCCAAGUGAUUGGAGAAGGAGAUUGCAGAAUGGUGUGUGCUGUAACAGGGGAGGCACCGAGGGCUGUCACGCUUCCAGCAAUCUGAACUUUAAGAAUCCAUGAACGCCUUCCUAAAUCAAAGUGUAAGAGUAAGCCAAUGUCUGCACACGAGGAUCGCCUAAGAUCUUUUUAAAAUUAUAAAGCACAGGCCACACUCCAGAUCAACUUAAAUGACAAUCUCUGUGUUUGGGACGCAGGCACUGGUAGUUUUUUAAACUCCCCAGGUGAUACCAAUAUGUCGACAGAUUUGGGAACCACUAGUCUAGAAACAGGAAGAUAAACAAAGGGGAAUUGAAACUGCUCUCUGUAUAACGGACCUCGUACCAUUUCAGGCUACUAACUCAGAUGUGCAAAAAAAGAAAGUCUUUAGUUUUCUGUAGAUGACUGUAAUAUCUUUUUUAAGCCCCCAAUUCCACAAAGUGGCUAAAGUUUCUGUCAGUCGAUCCAUGGUUCCUCUCACUCUUCCCUCUGCUCUUUCUUCGUUGGAGCUGUGAGUAGGGAGUUAUAAAGUACCAGAGGAGGAGAGAGGGGUAGCAGGGAUGAGCAUCCAUUGAAUCCCCAGCUAAUAUCCAACCAUGUUGGCUCCAUUAGUCCCCUCAACACAUGGCCUCUCCAGUGUCACUUUCUGAAGUCCCUGGCACAAGCUGCCACAUCCCAUCCCCAGGGGCUUUCAGGUCCCCAGGCUGGCUGCUCACAGCCUCACUGCUCCUGGUCACGAUAGCAGACAUUCUGCUCUGCCCCAUGUCACCCUGAAGUUCAACGGGCAGGGGUAGCCUUUAAAACAGGGAAUUAUUGAGAAUGAAAAAUACUUUAGUAAUAUAUCAAGGGGCCAGCUCGGUGGCACAGCGGUUAAGUGCACAUGUUCCGAUUCGAGGCCCGGAGUUCACUGGUUCGGAUCCCGGGUGCUGACAUGGCACAGCUUGACAAGCCAUGCUGUGGUAGGCAUCCCACAUAUAAAGUAGAGGAAGAUGGGCACGGAUGUUAGCUCGGGCCAGUCUUCCUCAGCAAAAAGAGGAGGAUUGGCAGCAGAUGUUAGUUCAGGGCUAAUC